GGCGGCGUGCCUAACACAUGCAAGUCGAACGCGAGAGUCCCGCAAGGGAUGAGUAGCGUGGCAAACGGGUGAGUAACACGUGGGUGACCUGCCUUCGAGUGGGGGAUAACGUCCCGAAAGGGACGCUAAUACCGCAUGACAUCCUGCCUUUGAAGAGGCGGAGAUCAAAGCCGGGGAUUCGCAAGAACCUGGCGCUUGAAGAGGGGCCCGCGCCUGAUUAGCUAGUUGGUGGGGUAACGGCUCACCAAGGCAACGAUCAGUAUCCGGCCUGAGAGGGCGGACGGACACACUGGGACUGAGACACGGCCCAGACUCCUACGGGAGGCAGCAGUGGGGAAUUGUUCGCAAUGGGCGCAAGCCUGACGACGCAACGCCGCGUGGAGGAUGAACACCUUCGGGUCGUAAACUCCUUUCGAUCGAGACGAAUGGCUUCCGGGCUAACAUCCUGGGAGAAUGACGGUACCGA
rnacentral:rRNA from 1 species